rfam:Dengue virus type 2 isolate P8-1407 polyprotein gene, complete cds
AGUUGUUAGUCUACGUGGACCGACAAAGAACAGUUUCUUUGAGGAAGCUUGGCUUAACGUAGUUCUAACAG